rnacentral:rRNA from 1 species
GUCGAGCGGUAACAGAUCUAGCUUGCUAGAUGCUGACGAGCGGCGGACGGGUGAGUAANGCAUAGGAAUCUGCCCGAUAGUGGGGGAUAACCUGGGGAAACCCAGGCUAAUACCGCAUACGUCCUACGGGAGAAAGGGGGCUUCGGCUCCCGCUAUUGGAUGAGCCUAUGUCGGAUUAGCUAGUUGGUGAGGUAAUGGCUCACCAAGGCAACGAUCCGUAGCUGGUCUGAGAGGAUGAUCAGCCACAUCGGGACUGAGACACGGCCCGAACUCCUACGGGAGGCAGCAGUGGGGAAUAUUGGACAAUGGGCGAAAGCCUGAUCCAGCCAUGCCGCGUGUGUGAAGAAGGCCCUCGGGUUGUAAAGCACUUUCAGCGAGGAAGAACGCCUAGUGGUUAAUACCCAUUAGGAAAGACAUCACUCGCAGAAGAAGCACCGGCUAACUCCGUGCCAGCAGCCGCGGUAAUACGGAGGGUGCAAGCGUUAAUCGGAAUUACUGGGCGUAAAGCGCGCGUAGGUGGCUUGAUAAGCCGGUUGUGAAAGCCCCGGGCUCAACCUGGGAACGGCAUCCGGAACUGUCAAGCUAGAGUGCAGGAGAGGAAGGUAGAAUUCCCGGUGUAGCGGUGAAAUGCGUAGAGAUCGGGAGGAAUACCAGUGGCGAAGGCGGCCUUCUGGACUGACACUGACACUGAGGUGCGAAAGCGUGGGUAGCAAACAGGAUUAGAUACCCUGGUAGUCCACGCCCUAAACGAUGUCGACCAGCCGU